GACGAACGCUGGCGGCGUGCCUAAUACAUGCAAGUAGGACGCCGUUGUGAACGGGUGAGUAACGCGUAGGUAACUGCCUCUUCGAGGGGGAUAACUAUUGGAAACGAUAGCUAAUACCGCAUACUAGUAGAUUGACCUGCUUUGUAUUCGGUAGUAGGUAGGGUAAUGGCCUACCUAGGCGACGAUACAUUACCGACCUGGGAUGGUGUGCGGCCCACCUGGGCCUGAGAAACGGCCCAGACUCCCACGGGAGGCAGCCGUAGGGAAGCUUCGGAAAUUGGGGGACCGCUGAACGAGCAACGCCGCGUGAGUGAAGAAUGUUUUCGGAUCGUAAAGCUCGGUUGUUAAGGAAGCGGUACUUAACCAGAAAGGGACGGCUAACUACGUGCCAGCAGCCGCGGUAAUUC
rnacentral:rRNA from 1 species